GCAUAUCAGAAGGCACACCCGGAGAACUGAAACAUCUUAGUACCCGGAGGAAGAGAAAGAAAAUUCGAUUCCCUUAGUAGCGGCGAGCGAAACGGGAAGAGCCCAAACCAACAAGCUUGCUUGUUGGGGUUGUAGGACACUCUAUACGGAGUUACAAAGGACGACAUUAGACGAAUCAUCUGGAAAGAUGAAUCAAAGAAGGUAAUAAUCCUGUAGUCGAAAAUGUUGUCUCUCUUGAGUGGAUCCUGAGUACGACGGAGCACGUGAAAUUCCGUCGGAAUCUGGGAGGACCAUCUCCUAAGGCUAAAUACUCACUAGUGACCGAUAGUGAACCAGUACCGUGAGGGAAAGGUGAAAAGCACCCCGGAAGGGGAGUGAAAUAGAACCUGAAACCGUGUGCUUACAAGUAGUCAGAGCCCGUUAAUGGGUGAUGGCGUGCCUUUUGUAGAAUGAACCGGCGAGUUACGAUUUGAUGCAAGGUUAAGCAGUAAAUGUGGAGCCGUAGCGAAAGCGAGUCUGAAUAGGGCGUUUAGUAUUUGGUCGUAGACCCGAAACCAGGUGAUCUACCCUUGGUCAGGUUGAAGUUCAGGUAACACUGAAU
rnacentral:rRNA from 1 species